rnacentral:rRNA from 1 species
UACAGAGGGUGCGAGCGUUAAUCGGAAUUACUGGGCGUAAAGCGCGCGUAGGCGGCUCUGCAAGUCGGAUGUGAAAUCCCCGGGCUUAACCUGGGAACUGCAUUCGAGACUGCAUUGCUAGAGUAUGGGAGAGGGAAGUGGAAUUUCCGGUGUAGCGGUGAAAUGCGUAGAUAUCGGAAGGAACAUCAGUGGCGAAAGCGACUUCCUGGACCAAUACUGACGCUCAUGUGCGAAAGCGUGGGGAGCAAACAGG